GAUGAACGCUGGCGGCGUGCCUAAUACAUGCAAGUCGAGCGAACGGACGAGAAGCUUGCUUCUCUGAUGUUAGCGGCGGACGGGUGAGUAACACGUGGAUAACCUACCUAUAAGACUGGGAUAACUUCGGGAAACCGUAGCUAAUACCGGAUAAUAUUUUGAACCGCAUGGUUCGAAAGUGAAAGACGGUCUUGCUGUCACUUAUAGAUGGAUCCGCGCUGCAUUAGCUAGUUGGUAAGGUAACGGCUUACCAAGGCAACGAUGCAUAGCCGACCUGAGAGGGUGAUCGGCCACACUGGAACUGAGACACGGUCCAGACUCCUACGGGAGGCAGCAGUAGGGAAUCUUCCGCAAUUGGCGAAAGCCUGACGGAGCAACGCCGCGUGAGUGAUGAAGGUCUUCGGAUCGUAAAACUCUGUUAUUAGGGAAGAACAUAUGUGUAAGUAACUGUGCACAUCUUGACGGUACCUAAUCAGAAAGCCACGGCUAACUACGUG
rnacentral:rRNA from 1 species